rnacentral:tRNA from 1 species
UAGCUCAGUCGGUAGAGCAGAGGAUUGAAAAUCCUCGUGUCGGCGGUUCGAUUCC